rnacentral:rRNA from 1 species
UCUCCGUUGGUGAACCAGCGGAGGGAUCAUUACCGAGUUAUACAACUCAUCAACCCUGUGAACAUACCUAUAACGUUGCCUCGGCGGGAACAGACGGCCCCGUAACACGGGCCGCCCCCGCCAGAGGACCCCCUAACUCUGUUUCUAUAAUGUUUCUUCUGAGUAAGCAAGCAAAUAAAUUAAAACUUUCAACAACGGAUCUCUUGGCUCUGGCAUCGAUGAAGAACGCAGCGAAAUGCGAUAAGUAAUGUGAAUUGCAGAAUUCAGUGAAUCAUCGAAUCUUUGAACGCACAUUGCGCCCGCCAGUAUUCUGGCGGGCAUGCCUGUUCGAGCGUCAUUACAACCCUCAGGCCCCCGGGCCUGGCGUUGGGGAUCGGCGGAAGCCCCCUGCGGGCACAACGCCGUCCCCCAAAUACAGUGGCGGUCCCGCCGCAGCUUCCAUUGCGUAGUAGCUAACACCUCGCAACUGGAGAGCGGCGCGGCCACGCCGUAAAACACCCAACUUCUGAAUGUUGACCUCGAAUCAGGUAGGAAUACCCGCUGAACUUAAGCAUAUCAAUAAGCGG